rnacentral:lncRNA from 1 species
CUGGUAACAAACAAACAAUGAUGGUCAUGCUUUUUAGUCUAUGAUUGUUGGGCCAUGGCGACUGGAGAGAGAGAGAGAGAAAGAGAGAGAGAGAGAGGGAGAAUAGUGAUCGAUGUUAGGUAAGUGAGAUCCACUACCAUCUCUCUCUCUCUCUCAUCGACGCUCCCGUCCAUUAGGGUUCGAUCAUCUUCUUCGCCACCGCCACCGCCACCGCCACAACCUCGCAUCACAUCAGAUCUCCGUCCGCAUCUCUUCUUCUCCGAUAGAUCCAUCUCACUACACACAAAUUCUUCAUCUUCAAUUCGCAUCUCUAUGUAAACAACUAGGGUUGGGGCUGGGGUUUUCUAAUUAAUUUCUGAUUGUGGAAUCUCUUCUUCGUUCUUUGUUUCUGUUGUAAUUAAUAUGGAUCUGAUCAACAAGUAAUUAAGAACUGGAUCUGAGAAUCUCACACUGCUGUGACGGAAAAAGCCUAUGAAUCUAUACACAACCACCUACGCUUCCUUUGUCUCUAUCUUCGCCCUACCUAACUAGGGCAUAUAUUAUCCUACAACAGAUUCCUUUUCUUUUUUCUUUUUUUUUUUAAAUUAAUAAUAAAAUUAUUUCUUCUGUUUGCGUCUUUGUGAUGACGAUCGAGAACUUCAUCGCAUAAUAAUUUUCGGAUCUUAGCUUCGUUUUUUGUCUUCAUCUGGUUUUCUUCCUUCUUCCCUGG